rnacentral:rRNA from 1 species
AUUGAACGCUGGCGGCAGGCUUAACACAUGCAAGUCGAGCGGGGGAAGGUAGCUUGCUACCGGACCUAGCGGCGGACGGGUGAGUAAUGCUUAGGAAUCUGCCUAGUAGUGGGGGACAACAUCUCGAAAGGGAUGCUAAUACCGCAUACGUCCUACGGGAGAAAGCAGGGGAUCUUCGGACCUUGCGCUAAGAGAUGAGCCUAAGUCGGAUUAGCUAGUUGGUGGGGUAAAGGCCUACCAAGGCGACGAUCUGUAGCGGGUCUGGGAGGAUGAUCCGCCACACUGGGACUGAGACACGGCCCAGACUCCUACGGGAGGCAGCAGUGGGGAAUAUUGGACAAUGGGGGGAACCCUGAUCCAGCCAUGCCGCGUGUGUGAAGAAGGCCUUAUGGUUGUAAAGCACUUUAAGCGAGGAGGAGGCUACUUUAGUUAAUACCUAGAGAUAGUGGACGUUACUCGCAGAAUAAGCACCGGCUAACUCUGUGCCAGCCGCCGCGGUAA